rnacentral:rRNA from 1 species
UAGGGAAUAUUGCACAAUGGGGGAAACCCUGAUGCAGCGACGCCGCGUGAGUGAUGAAGGCCUUCGGGUCGUAAAGCUCUGUCGUAUGGGACUAACACAAUGAAGGUACCAUGCAAGAAAGGAUCGGCUAACUUCGUGCCAGCAGCCGCGGUAAGACGAGGGAUCCUAGCGUUGUUCGGAAUUAUUGGGCGUAAAGCGGGUGUAGGCGGAUCUAUAAGUCAGGUGUGAAAUCCCAGGGCUCAACCCUGGA